ACUUAGAACUUCAGAAGACCACUUGAGAGAAAACUCAAGUGAUGAAGACUGUGACGAUGACUUGGCACUUCUAACAAGAAAAUUUAAAAAAUUCAUUAAAAGAAACAAGUUUAAGAAUGACACAAAAAAUAAACUUGAACCCAAGAAGGACCAAGUUAUUUGCUAUGAGUGCAAAAUGCCGGGACACUACAAGAGUGAUUGUCC
rnacentral:lncRNA from 1 species